AACGUAGGUCACAAGCGUUGUCCGGAAUUACUGGGUGUAAAGGGAGCGCAGGCGGGAAGACAAGUUGGAAGUGAAAUCCAUGGGCUCAACCCAUGAACUGCUUUCAAAACUGUUUUUCUUGAGUAGUGCAGAGGUAGGCGGAAUUCCCGGUGUAGCGGUGGAAUGCGUAGAUAUCGGGAGGAACACCAGUGGCGAAGGCGGCCUACUGGGCACCAACUGACGCUGAGGCUCGAAAGUGUGGGUAGCAAACAGGAUUAGAAACCCCAGUAGUCCGGUAUACU
rnacentral:rRNA from 1 species